GGGAGAGUAGCUCAGUGGAAGAGCUCCUGCCUUGCAUACAUGUGGCCCUGAGUUUGAUUCCCAGCCCUGCUA
rfam:Heterocephalus glaber contig25704, whole genome shotgun sequence.